CGCGGUGUAGCCCAAACCCCGACAGUCCCGGCAGCGGCUCCAGGCCGAAAGAGAAGCGGUGGCGCCAGCCCCAUAGCGGAGGAGCGCAGCCAUCUCUCCGAGG
rfam:Alligator sinensis unplaced genomic scaffold scaffold301_2, whole genome shotgun sequence